AUGCCCAGACCGAGUGUGCCUGGACCCAGAGCCCCAACAGAGCACUGCCUCACUGGCUGGGAGAGUGUCUAUCACCUGGAAGGUUUUGCUAUUAUUGUCAUGCAUGGUCCUAAUCCAGGCAGCCCAGGAUGUGACCCAGGCAGGGGAACCCGGGUGGGGAACAGAUCCUUGGAGCCCUGCCGCCUCUACCUUCCCGGUAUCACCAAGGAAACCACAGCUCCUUUGUUGUUGCCAUGGCAACCAUCUAAACUCUUUCUUUCCCCCAGCUUCACCAUGGAGACAGCCAACGGGAAAGAAGUUCCUGAGUGGGAGGCGGUACAGCAGGCAGAGGUGAGAAUGCGCCUCCAGGAAUCAGGACUGGAAAUUCCCACUCCGCUGAGGAAUGCAGAGGCAUUCCUGAAGCUGCACAGAAGUACAUUGUCGAAGCCGGGAUGUCCCUGGGGAAACAUAGGCCACUUCCAGCAUCAAUGGUGUCAGGUCAGGUCCUCUGGGUAGAAGAAAUGGAGUCAGGAGUGCUGGAGACUGAGUAAGAGGUAAGCCUUGUUAACAUGAUAGGAGGAUGAAGCAUGAAUGGGCAGAAAAAGACUUCAUAUCACAAUGCCAAUCUGAAUCUGGGAAAGGAACUAGAGAAGGAGCAGAAUAAGCAGGUAGAGGCUCAGAGUGAGAUGCCAUCUGAUGAAACCUGGUCCAACCCAAUAGGGAGCUAUAGUGAAAGACUACCCAUGAGAAGGCUCCCCCACUGGCAGAAAUGGCCAGCCACUAGGAUUCCUGCUGUGGUCCCUCUUUAGCUGAAGGCUGCCUGGCGGAAGUGUGGCCUUGACUCAGAUGCUGUGGCAGAUCCUGAUGGGGUUCUGGCUGGAGGUCUCAGCUAAAUGCAGCCCUUGCCACUGACAGCAUGCUUUUUUUUUUUUUUUCUUUUUUCUUUUUUUGAGGCAGAGUCUCACUCUGUUGCCAUGCUGGAGUGCAGUGGCGUGAUCUCGACUCACUGCAACAUCUGCCUCCCGGGUUCAAGUGAUUCUCCUGCCUCAGCCUCCCAAGUAGCUGGGACUACAGAUGCACACCACUACGCCUGGCUAACUUUUGUAUUUUUAGUAGAGAUGGGGUUUCACCAUGUUGGCCAGGCUGGUCUCGAUCUCCUGACCUUGUGUUCCACCCACCUGGGCCUCACAGAGUGCUGGGAUUACAGGCGUGAGCCACUGCGUCCAGUCCCUCAUGCUCUUCUUGAAGAAAGUUCUGAGAGGCAGAUGCUCAUGACUGCCACACCUGGGGAGGAGCCUGGCAGAGGGUGAAGCUCCCUUUGGCCCUGUAGACUCCUUGCCCUUAGGGUAGAAAUCCAGGUAGAGAAGGACAAGAGAGGAGCCUUUGAAAGCAGAGGGUGUACACUGCCCUAGUCCAGGCUGAGGAUGUUACUGUGUAGACCCAGUUUGACUUCCCCCUGGCUAAAGCCCCAAACGACCACACCACCACCCAACACAAGUACAAGUGUGGUGGAAACAAAGUCUGAGUGUAAGACGUGGGCUUCAGGAAUUGUUAAAAUAUUGUAUCUUGAUUUUUACAUAUUUUAUAAAAACAUGCUGGGUCAGGUGUGGUGGCUCACGCCUG
ensembl:lncRNA